rnacentral:rRNA from 1 species
AUUGAACGCUGGCGGCAGGCUUAACACAUGCAAGUCGAGCGGGGUGAUGGUGCUUGCACUAUCACCUAGCGGCGGACGGGUGAGUAAUGCUUAGGAAUCUGCCUAUUAGUGGGGGACAACAUUUCGAAAGGAAUGCUAAUACCGCAUACGUCCUACGGGAGAAAGCAGGGGAUCUUCGGACCCUGCGCUAAUAGAUGAGCCUAAGUCGGAUUAGCUAGUUGGUGGGGUAAAGGCCCACCAAGGCGACGAUCUGUAGCGGGUCUGAGAGGAUGAUCCGCCACACUGGGACUGAGACACGGCCCAGACUCCUACGGGAGGCAGCAGUGGGGAAUAUUGGACAAUGGGCGCAAGCCUGAUCCAGCCAUGCCGCGUGUGUGAAGAAGGCCUUAUGGUUGUAAAGCACUUUAAGCGAGGAGGAGGCUACUUUAGAUAAUACCUAGAGAUAGUGGACGUUACUCGCAGAAUAAGCACCGGCUAACUCUGUGCCAGCCGCCGCAGUAAGAC